rnacentral:rRNA from 1 species
UACGGAGGGUGCGAGCGUUGUCCGGAUUUAUUGGGUUUAAAGGGUGCGUAGGCGGUCGAUUAAGUCUGGGGUGAAAGCCCGCUGCUCAACAGCGGAACUGCCCUGGAUACUGGUUGACUUGAGUACAGACGAGGUUGGCGGAAUGGACGGAGUAGCGGUGAAAUGCAUAGAUACCGUCCAGAACACCGAUUGCGAAGGCAGCUGACUAGGCUGAUACUGACGCUGAGGCACGAAAGCGUGGGGAGCGAACAGG